rnacentral:rRNA from 1 species
UACGGAGGGAGCUAGCGUUGUUCGGAAUUACUGGGCGUAAAGCGCGCGUAGGCGGCUUGGCAAGUAGAGGGUGAAAUCCCGGAGCUUAACUCCGGAACUGCCUCCUAAACUGCUGAGCUAGAAUCCUGGAGAGGUGAGUGGAAUUCCUAGUGUAGAGGUGAAAUUCGUAGAUAUUAGGAAGAACACCAGUGGCGAAGGCGACUCACUGGACAGGUAUUGACGCUGAGGUGCGAAAGCGUGGGGAGCGAACAGG